GCCAGGCGUGGUGGCGCACGCCUGUAAUCCCAGCUACUGGGGAGGCUGAGGCAGGAGAAUCGCUUGAACCCGGGAGGCAGAGGUUGCAGUGAGCCAAGAUCACACCACUGCACUCCAGUCUGGGUGACAGAACGAGACUCUGUCUCAA
rfam:Homo sapiens chromosome 11, GRCh38 reference primary assembly.